CCGUCGGUAGUGCAACGGUUAGCAGACGCUCCCGGGAAGAGUGAAAUCUGGGUUCGAAUCCCCGGCUGACGCA